GUGUUUGCAGCCCAGACCAUUGAACCAGGGGCUUUUGUACUGGAGUACAGGGGUGAACUCAUAUCAGUGGAAGAAUGCCAGUCAAGACACUACUCAGAGAAAGAGUGUGAGAAGGUGACCACAGGCAGGCUCCAGCUGGGGCAGUUGAUCUGGGGAUGUCCUCCACACAUCACACUUCACAUGGAGCUUCACACAAAGAUGGUGUCAGCACACAGGUUAUGGUUUCCAGGUUUUGCCUUGUGGAGUACUCUGAUAGUGAGGAUACAGAUGAAGGCUGUGGAACAGACCACCCUUUGACUUCACACUGUAAUGAAGUUGUUCAAAACAAAAGAAUGACAGACAUUUUGGUAAGCCUCAGAUACAUUAAAUACAUAAUAUUGACUAGAGAAGAAUUUCAAAAACCUAUGAAUUUCCUUGAUGUAAGGAACAUCAUGAACCACAUCUGCACGUGUCUGUGUUUUGCAGAAAGAUGCAGUGUCAGAUGUUGCUAAAUCUGUGUCUGACUCAGAUGAGAUGUUGAUGAUUCAAUAAAGACAGAUUCAGUCUGCACUCAGACAAUGAGGCUGUUCAAAGCUUAGAGGACAAAAAGUGUUCUGGUAUGUGUUAAUGGCCAUUUCUCACUUUUCCCAAUGUAAUAUUUUUUCUUACAUUAAGAAUGAAAUGAUUACAAAUGUCUUGUUUUGCAGAUGGAUGACAUGCCACGCUCCGAUGCUCUCUGUGAUUCAAGUGAUGAUGACGAUGCUCACCCUUCCACAUCAAAGGCCAAAGAGAAGGU
ensembl:lncRNA